AGCCCACAUCAGCAGUGACUCUCUGAGCUUCUUUAUCUGAGAAGAAACUAGUCUGCUGAUGGCUGCUCUGAGAAAACCGUCUCUCUGUCCCAAGGAACCAUCUGAUCACCUGCAGAGUCUCAGGCUCCCCGUUCCCCAGCCACAUGCAAGCAGGGCAGAUGACCAGGAGAACACCCUGUGAUGGGUUUGGUCACAGAGACCUCCUUGGGAUUGUCACCUGAUGUGCUGAAAUUAGCUUUGAUCCCAUUUUCCCUGUCAGCCCGGGACUUCCAGAAUCCUGUCUUGUUGAGCCAGAGACACUAGCCUGUUGCAACCCAGAUCCAGCGUCUGGUCUAUAUCCCCAAAGCUGCAGACUUAAGUGAAAACAGCUCAGCAGAUUAUCUGUCUCCAGCCUCCAGACACGCAGUUGGCAAUGGGAUCCAAACCCCGGUACCGUCUUUGUUAGAUCCAGCAGACAUCUCAGGUGCAAGGAGUGGAGAUUGCUGCUGAGCAGUUGAUGAACACAUCAGGGCAAAGAAUGAGAAGAUUAAUUUCAUUGAGUUAUAUUGGUGCAAUGAAAUCAAAAAAUCUCAAGAUGAGGCGGAUC